rnacentral:rRNA from 1 species
AGUCAUCCAUACGCCAAUCCAUAACGUAUGGAAGGGAACCCGGUGAACUGAAACAUCUAAGUAGCCGGAGGAAAAGAAAGAAAACUCGAUUUCCAGAGUAGCGGCGAGCGAAAUGGAAAGAGCCUAAACCAGCGUGCGUGCAUGCUGGGGUUACGGACUGCACAAGCUAUUGUGAAAGGUUAAGGGAACGGUUUUGGGAAAGCCGGCCAGAGAGGGUGAAAGCCCCGUACCUGAAAACCGGACACAGGCGGCAGGAUCCAAAGUACCACGAGACACGAGAAACCUUGUGGGAAGUCGGGGGGACCACCCCCCAAGGCUAAAUACUACUUAGUGACCGAUAGCGCAUAGUACUGUGAAGGAAAGGUGAAAAGGACCCCGGGAGGGGAGUGAAAGAGAACCUGAAACCCUGUGUUUACAAGCUGUGGAACAUCUAUAUACGAUGGACCGCGUACUUUUUGUAGAACGGUCCGGCGAGUUACGCUGGCUGGCGAGGUUAAGGACCCAAGGUCCGGAGCCGGAGGAAAACCAAGUCUUAAUAGGGCGGAAUAGUCAGCCAGAGUAGACCCGAAACCGGGUGAUCUACCCAUGUCCAGGUUGAAGUUGCCGUAAAAGGCAAUGGAGGACCGAACGCACAUCCGUUGAAAAGGGUGGCGAUGAGGUGUGGGUAGGGGAGAAAUUCCAAUCGAACCCGGAGAUAGCUGGUUCUCCUCGAAAUAGCUUUAGGGCUAGCCUCGACAGAGUCUGAUGGAGGUAGAGCACUGAAUUUCCUAGGGGGCGUCAAAGUCUACCGAAGAAUAUCAAACUCCGAAUGCCAUCAAGAUGCUUGUCGGGAGUCAGACUGCACGAGAUAAGUUGGGUAGUCAAAAGGGAAAGAGCCCAGACCUCCAGCUAAGGUCCCAAAGUGCGUGUUAAGUGGAAAAGGAUGUGGGAUUUCAAAGACAACCAGGAUGUUGGCUCAGAAGCAGCCAUACAUUCAAAGAGUGCGUAAUAGCUCACUGGUCGAGAGGUCCUGCGCCGAAAAUGUCCGGGGCUGAAACACGACACCGAAGCUGAGGAAUUGGACGCAAGUCGAAUUGGUAGAGGAGCAUUGCAUGCGCGACGAAGCAGUACCGUAAGGAGCUGUGGAGUGUAUGGAAGAGAGAAUGCCGGAAUGAGUAGCGAGAUGGAGGUGGGAAUCCUCCAGGCCGAAUAUCCAAGGUUUCCAGAGUAAAGCUGAUCUGCUCUGGGUAAGUCGGGACCUAAGGCGAGGCCGAGAGGCGUAGCCGAUGGACAACAGGUUGAGAUUCCUGUACUGCUGUAUAUCAGAACUGUGGGGACACAGAGGGAAAGCACAGGCGCGGAACGGAAAGCCGCGUGCAAGCGAGGUACCGGACUGGUAGGAAAAACCGCCAGCCAACGGGAAGGCGUGAUGCGUACCGAAAUCAAGUAGGGAAGUGUGUGAGCCAGCUGUCAAGAAAAGCCGCUAUUGCGUAUACAGUACCCGUACCGUAAACCGACACAGGUGGAUGAGGAGAGAAUCCUAAGGCCGGCGGAAGAAGUAUUGUCAAGGAACUCGGCAAAAUGACCCUGUAACUUCGGGAGAAAGGGUGCCUCGAAAGAGGCCGCAGAGAAUUGGCCCAAGCAACUGUUUAGCAAAAACACAGGUCUAUGCGAAACCGAAAGGUGAGGUAUAUGGGCUGACGCCUGCCCGGUGCUGGAAGGUUAAGGGGAGAUGUUAGAGCAAUCGAAGCAUUGAACUUAAGCCCCAGUAAACGGCGGCCGUAACAAUAACGGUCCUAAGGUAGCGAAAUUCCUUGUCGGGU